GAUGAACGCUAGCGGCAGGCUUAAUACAUGCAAGUCGUGGGGCAGCAGGACUGUAGCAAUCCAGUUGCUGGCGACCGGCAAACGGGUGCGGAACACGUACGCAACUUACCCUGAACUGGGGGAUAGCCCGGGGAAACCCGGAUUAAUACCCCGUAAUAUAAUGGAGUGGCAUCACUUUAUUAUUAAAGCUCCGGCGGUUCGGGAUGGGCGUGCGGCUGAUUAGGUAGUUGGUUGAGGUAACGGCUCACCAAGCCUACGAUCAGUAACUGGUGUGAGAGCAAGAGAAGUCACAAGGGAACUGAGAAACGGGGCCGAAUCCUACGGGAGGCAGCAGUAAGGAAUAUUGGGCAAUGGAGGAAACUCUGACCCAGCCAUGCCGCGUGGAGGAUGAAGGCCCUCUGGGUUGUAAACUUCUUUUAUAGGGGAAGAAACCUGUGUAUUCUUACGCAGUUGACGGUAACCGAGGAAUAAGCACCGGCUAACUCCGUG
rnacentral:rRNA from 1 species